rnacentral:lncRNA from 1 species
AAAGCACACUGUGCUGAAGUGCAUCCUGCUGUGUUUUUCCAGCUCAUCAUAUGCAGGCUGGCCCAUGUGAGGGUGUGUGUGCUAUGUGCUACAGCCACACAUGUCAGUAUCGACACAGCCCCAAACUCCACAUGGAGGACUGAGACUGUGGAGAAUGGAUGAGGACAGAGAGAAUGAAGGAGUAUGAACAGCAAUUUGACUGUCAACAGGCAUCAGUAUUGAUGUGUGCGAGUGAAGCAUGGCAAGGCAAAGAUCAAAGGGGGAGGAUAACAGAAACCACGCAGCUGUGAAUGACAAGUCAGCGUUUUCUGAACAAACUUCUGAGAGCAUCACGACUUCAAGUGCAGGCCUCUGUAAUGAGAAGAAAGAUGAGUCUAGGUGAAGAUUUAACAAAGGUAGAAAAGUUUUCUCUCACAAGUAGUGCCUCUGAAAAUUCACUGGAAAUAGCUGGCCAGAUACCGCUCCCUGUUCUACUGAGGGAUUUUGAUGACCAAGAGAGCAACAUGUGGACACAUCUUUUUCCCCUCCAUUAAGGAGUACGGAUGGCUGAACUCAAAUCCCAGGACCAUCUGCUACUUGGGAAAGAGUAAGGCCUGCAUAUGAUUUCUGUAAUUCAGCUCAGUUUGUAAUUUGUUGGCAAAACUGAUGGCUUUUGUCCUUCCCACAAGUAAAACUUUGGUAUCCAGACUCCUCCUUCUGGGAGUUUAUUUUCUGGAUCCAGAAACUAAACUUCAUUAACUUCAGUCUAAAAAACACCGUG